rnacentral:rRNA from 1 species
AUUGAACGCUGGCGGCAGGCCUAACACAUGCAAGUCGAGCGGAUGAAGGGAUCUUGCUCCUGGAUUCAGCGGCGACGGGUGGUUAAUGCCCAGGACUUUGCCUGGGGGGGGGGGUUAACCUCCGGAAACUGGCCUUAAUCCCCCCUUCGUCCUUGGGUGAAAACGGGGGGCCCUUCCGACCUCACUCUCUUCGCUCCUCCUAGGUCGGAUUAGCUAGUUGGUGGGGUAAAGGCCUACCAAGGCGACGAUCCGUAACUGGUCUGAGAGGAUGAUCAGUCACACUGGAACUGAGACACGGUCCAGACUCCUACGGGAGGCAGCAGUGGGGAAUAUUGGACAAUGGGCGAAAGCCUGAUCCAGCCAUGCCGCGUGUGUGAAGAAGGUCUUCGGAUUGUAAAGCACUUUAAGUUGGGAGGAAGGGCAGUAAGUUAAUACCUUGCUGUUUUGACGUUACCAACAGAAUAAGCACCGGCUAACUUCGUG